rnacentral:piRNA from 1 species
UGCUAGUGUAUGCAAUGGUGU